rnacentral:rRNA from 1 species
AGGACGAACGCUGGCGGCGUGCUUAACACAUGCAAGUGGAGCGACGAACCAGGGCUUGCCCUGGGGCAGAGCCGCGAACGGGUGAGUAACACGUGGGUUACCUGCCUUGAUGACCGGGACAACCCGAGGAAACUCGGGCUAAUACCGGAUGUGCCCGCAAGGGGAAAGGAAGCUUCGGCCUCCGCAUCAAGAUGGGCCCGCGGCCCAUUAGCUUGUUGGUGAGGUAACGGCUCACCAAGGCUUCGAUGGGUAGCUGGUCUGAGAGGACGAUCAGCCACACUGGGACUGAGACACGGCCCAGACUCCUACGGGAGGCAGCAGUGGGGAAUCUUGCGCAAUGCGCGAAAGCGUGACGCAGCAACGCCGCGUGGGGGAAGAAGGCUUUCGGGUUGUAAACCCCUUUCAGUUGGGACGAAGCUUCUCCGGUGAAUAGCCGGACGGAGUGACGGUACCUUCACAAGAAGCACCGGCUAACUACGUGCCAGCAGCCACGGU